GUCUACAGCCAUACCACCCUGAAUAUACUGAUCUCAUCUGACCUCAGAAGCUAAGCAGGGUUGGGCCUGGUUAGUACUUGCAUAGGAGAAAAGAGUGGAAGUGAGAAGGGGGGUAGAAA
rnacentral:rRNA from 1 species